rnacentral:tRNA from 1 species
AUUUAAGUAGCUUAAAUUUAAAGCUUAAUAUUGAAGAUAUUAUGAUGAGUAUACUUCUUAAAUA